GACGAACGCUGGCGGCGUGCUUAACACAUGCAAGUCGAACGGUGAUGCUCCAGCUUGCUGGCGUGGAUCAGUGGCGAACGGGUGAGUAACACGUGAGCAACCUGCCCCAGACUCUGGAAUAAGCGCUGGAAACGGCGUCUAAUACUGGAUACGAAACUGGCCCGCAUGGGCAUGGUUUGGAAAGUUUUUCGGUUUGGGAUGGGCUCGCGGCCUAUCAGCUUGUUGGUGGGGUAAUGGCUGACCAAGGCGACGACGGGUAGCCGGCCUGAGAGGGCGACCGGCCACACUGGGACUGAGGCACGGCCCAGACUCCUACGGGAGGCAGCAGUGGGGAAUAUUGCACAAUGGGCGAAAGCCUGAUGCAGCGACGCCGCGUGAGGGAUGACGGCCUUCGGGUUGUAAACCUCUUUCAGCAGGGAAGAAGCGAAAGUGACGGUACCUGCAGAAGAAGCACCGGCUAACUACGUG
rnacentral:rRNA from 1 species